rnacentral:rRNA from 1 species
AUUGAACGCUGGCGGCAUGCUUUACACAUGCAAGUCGAACGGUAACAGGCCGCAAGGUGCUGACGAGUGGCGAACGGGGGAGUAAUGCAUCGGAACGUGCCCAGUCGUGGGGGAUAACGCAGCGAAAUCUGCGCUAAUACCGCAUACGAUCUAUGGAUGAAAGCGGGGGACCGCAAGUCCUCGCGCGCUUGGAGCGGCCGAUGUCAGAUCAGGUAGUUGGUGGGGUAAAGGCUCACCAAGCCAACGAUCUGUAGCUGGGCUGAGAGGACGACCAGCCACACUGGGACGGAGACACGGCCCAGACUCCUACGGGAGGCAGCAGUGGGGAAUUUUGGACAAUGGGCGCAAGCCUGAUCCAGCAAUGCCGCGUGCAGGAAGAAGGCCUUCGGGUUGUAAACUGCUUUUGUACGGAACGAAACGGUCCUGGUUAAUACCCGGGGCUAAUGACGGUACCGUAAGAAUAAGCACCGGCUAACUACGUGCCAGCCGCCGCCGUAAUAC